AGGAAAUGUGAGUAUUAAUAGCAUCAGAUUAUAGCAUUUUUGAUAAUUCUGCUAUUGUAUACCAACAUUGGCUUUUUUAAUAGCGUUUAUAAAUUUAAAACGCUAUGUUUAGUAUCGCGGGAAAAUAAAAAAAAUGUUGGCCGCAUUAAUUUGUUAAUUUGUUAAGUUUGGCUCCAAUAACUAGAAGAAAAAAAAUAUUUUACCACCAAAACAAUAUCUCUUCCGCCUUCGUCCUCUGCUCUUCACACCAGAUGAAAGCUUUGUCUGAAAUUUUAACCAUUACUUCGUUCUGUCUGUAUAUGCUUUAGUGGUUUCUGGGCUGGUGAAAGUUUGUUACUUUCUCAGUUUCAGCUUCUUGAAAUGCUUAAUUGGUUUUUGGGUUGGUGAUCGAUUGAAGAGGGUUUGAUCGAUUGUUUCGGGGUUGAUCAAACCCAUCAACAGAGCCGCCGUUCACAGAGUCUGCUCCGGACAAGUCAUCUUAGACCUCUCAGCUCGGCCAUCAAGGAGCUUGUGGAGAACAGUCUCGACGCUGGAACCACCAGUAUAGAAAUCACCUCUGUGACUACGGCGAAUACUACUUCCAAGUCAUUGACAACGGCUGCGGUAUUUCCCCAUCCAAUUUCAAGGUUCUCGUGCUUAAGCACCACACUUCGAAAUUGGAGGAUUUCACAGAUCUUCAGAGUUUGACUAUGGUGGGUUUCAGAGGAGAAGCUCUUAGCUCUCUAUGUGCAUUGGGGAAUCUCACAGUGGAGACGAGGACAAAGAAGGAGCAAGUGGCUACGCUCUUAACCUUUGAUCAUUCCGGUUUGUUGGUUGCUGAGAAGAAGACUGCGCGCCAAAUUGGCUAAGAAAUUGUGGAAGAGGGUGAAGCUUCCUAGGAACUACGAGAAGGCUUUUGAAACCAUUGACAAGCAUUGGGUAAGUGAGCUUACCGUGUACAUAUAUUGAUGCAACAAGAGUGGAGGUUUUAUUCUGUUUCUUUUGGUGGUGUGUGUGGUUUUAUUCUGUUGGUGUUUCUAUGUCUCUUUUGGUGGGUUUUGUAGAUAUCAGAUACCACUUGCAUUGGUGGGGUUGUUAGCAAGUUUAGCACUUUGGGAGUUGUUCAAGUACUGUAGUGACACCAAUCUAUCUGCAUUCUUGGGUUUGUUUUGUUUGUUCACUGCUAUUUUCAGUUACUUGGAGCCUCUUGCAGUUGCUAUAGAUAAAGAGAAGUGGAGCAUGUGUGUUUACUCAAAGUGAAACUGAGUUUGAUGGAGAUUGUUGAGUUGGAUAUGGCUUCUCCUUUCUUCUCUCUCUCUCUCUCGCAGGAUUGGUUUUCUUCAUGGUUCAGCAUCAUCAUCAACAACAAGAUCCAUCUCAGCUAAUACUUAGUCGGAGAUCCAGCAGCACUAAGACAGGUCCAAGACAGAUUGAGAAGCAGAAUUCAAGGUGGAGGACCUCGUGAAGCUUUAAAUGGAGAUGCAUGUUACUGAGGAUAAUGGAGACAAAGGGAUAAUUGGAGAUUAAUUCUUGAUUUGUAGAUCAACUCUAUGGUUAAAAUGAUAAUCGAGUUUGUAAUUUGUUAUAUGUUUGAGUGUAAAACUGCAUUUGAUUGUAUUUUUAUUUAUAUUUUAAUUGUAGCAAAAGUUUGUAUUUUAAUUUAUAUGUUUUGUGUGUAAAAUUAAAAGAUAAAAAAUGAUAAUUAGAGUUUUGAUUUGUAA